UACGAAGGGGGCUAGCGUUGCUCGGAAUCAUUGGGCGUAAAGGGCGCGUAGGUGGCCCCUCAAGCGUGCGGUGAAAGUCAGGGGCUCAACCCCUGAUCGGCCGUGCGAACUGGGGAGCUUGAGCACUGUAGAGGCAGGCGGAAUUCCGGGUGUAGCGGUGGAAUGCGUAGAGAUCCGGAAGAACACCGGUGGCGAAAGCGGCUCACUGGACCAUUACUGACGCUGAGGCACGAAAGCUAGGGGAGCAAACAGG
rnacentral:rRNA from 1 species